GCCAUCAGUCAGGAUAUGGCCCAGAAGUUAAUUGAUAGCAUGCCAGAGCUAGUUAUGAUUCCUGUAAUACAGAUCGUAUGACUGUCACUUUUCUCCAGUCUACAGUAUUUUUUUCCAAGCUUACUGUAAUUUUAAGGUCAAUAUUCCCUAUACUUACGCAAGGGGAGAUGGGUAGUGGAGUCCACAGCAGUGUUGGCAGUAGAAAGGGAAGAGAGAAAUGCCAAGCUGCAGUUGGCUGUGAAAUUAAUAAAUACAGAGAGAGAGGGAGAGUCAGAAAGGUGUUGGUAUAAGUGAGAGAACCGAUCACCCCAUCAGUCAUCUGACAUGAGGUACUUUUAUAACUUGUGUUGCUGCCUGCUCAGCUCGUCAAUCUGUUUUCUCUCAUCCAGCGGUAAGUGCAGACCGUUCGUAUUGGGUUAAUCAAAACCUAACUUAUACAUUAGAAAUAUUUUGAAAAUAACUGGUAAAAAAUAAAUGAUUUUAUCCUUCCACGUGCUUGUUCUACGUGUAAGAUGUAGAACUCAUAAAACCUGUUUGUUUGGAAGGGUUGGGUGUUUGUUAAAAAAUGGUGUUGUGAUUCUUAUUGAUUAUACCGACUCAAUAAAAAUCAAUUGUUGACAAAAAAUAAAACCUUAUACCAUGGUAAGAAUGAGUGAAUAAUGAUUGAGAGAUGUGUGUGUUAUAAGGAUCUGUGCCUAAUAUGAGUACAUUACAUUGGAUUUUAUGCGUACCCUUGUCAUUUGAUGUUUCACUAAUAUGUUGUUCUCUCUCUCUCCACAGGUAUAAGCGACACGUUGGUGGUGAUCCAGUCUCCUCAUAAUGUAACGGUAACAGAGGGGGACACUGUUCAGAUCCAGUGCUGCUGGAAUACAAAUGUGUCAAGAGCGACAGUUCAUUGGCAUAAAGAAGGACACAGCGAGAUAAAAUAUAAUGGUUUACUGGUCAAAAACGGUCAGUGUCAUGACAGGGCAUCUCAACAGACUGUAGCCUGUAACUGCUCACAUUGGACCAUCUCAAACCUCACUAGAAAUGACAUGGGAACUUACAUCUGUAAAGUUACUAUAGAGAUACCAUCUCUUAUUGAAUCUGUGGGGAAUGGGACACAGAUAACAGUUACAGCCAGAGAGAAUAAAAGCAAAGUGGUUAUUGAGACCCCGGAGGACAUAGCAGUCCCCUACACCUUGAGAUGUCUCCCAGUCAUUAUACUGGUGGCCAUAUUCUGUUACUAUAGCUACCAGUGGAAGAAAAGUCAAUCUGUAGCUAAGAGACCAAGAGACUGACACGACGCUGACUUCCUGUUGAUCAUCAUGGACCUCCACCAUGUCACCUCUCUACAGGGACACCUGCAGAAUACCACAACAGAGUUACUCAUCACUGUUAGUUCACCACUGAUGGAGUGAUGCUUAGUAACUACCGUAGUUAGGAGCUUUAGCUUAAACAUUUCAUUUGUGUGUGAAUUGUUCAAUUGUUCACACUAUGUGCAUGUAGUAGUUGAUGGUUAUAAUUUA